UGGCUCCUACGGGGGGUAGCAGUGGGGAAUAUUGCGCAAUGGGCGAAAGCCUGACGCAGCGACGCCGCGUGAGGGAUGAAGGUCUUCGGAUCGUAAACCUCUGUCAGCAGGGAAGAACGGUCACUGUGCUAAUCAGCAGUGAAUUGACGGUACCUGCAAAGGAAGCACCGGCUAACUCCGUGCCAGCAGCCGCGGCAAUACGGAGGGUGCGAGCGUUAAUCGGAAUUACUGGGCGUAAAGCGCUCGUAGGCGGGAUGUCAAGUCAAGGAGGAAAUCCCCGCGCUCAACGU
rnacentral:rRNA from 1 species